AUUUAAAUAGCUUAAUAUUUUAGAGCGUAAUAUUGAAGAUAUUAGGGUAAUAGAUUUUAUUUUUAAAUA
rnacentral:tRNA from 1 species